AGAAGCAGAUCGCAUGAUCAGCUUUUAAAAAAAGGCGGCGUAAAGCUGUCGCUAUGGGAUGGCCCGCGGUGCAUUAGCUAGUUGGUAAGGUAAAGGCUUACCAAGGCGAUGAUGCAUAGCCGAGUUGAGAGACUGAUCGGCCACAUUGGGACCGAGACACGGCCCAAACUCCUACGGGAGGCAGCAGUAGGGAAUCUUCCACAAUGGACGCAAGUCUGACGGAGCAACGCCGCGUGAGUGAAGAAGGUUUUCGGAUCGUAAAGCUCUGUUGUUGGUGAAGAAGGAUAGAGGUAGUAACUGGCCUUUAUUUGACGGUAAUCAACCAGAAAGUCACGGGCUAACUACGUGCCAGCAGCCGCGGUAAAU
rnacentral:rRNA from 1 species